CUUCACCGAGCCCAGCCACAGCGGCUCGUCGCGCUCCUGACCGUAGGUGGCCAGCAGCGCCUGUGCCUC
rnacentral:antisense_RNA from 1 species